rnacentral:rRNA from 1 species
GAUGAACGCUGGCGGCGUGCCUAACACAUGCAAGUCGAGCGGUAAGGCUCCUUCGGGAGUACACGAGCGGCGGACGGCUGAGUAACACGUAGGAACGUACCCCAAACUGAGGGAUAAGCACCAGAAAUGGUGUCUAAUACCGCAUGUGCUCUUCGGAGUAAAGCUUCGGCGGUUUGGGAACGGCCUGCGCAUGAUUAGCUUGUUGGUAAGGUAAUGGCUUACCAAGGCGACGAUCAUUAGCUGGUCUGAGAGGAUGAUCAGCCAGACUGGGACUGAGAACGGCCCAGACUCCUACGGGAGGCAGCAGUGGGGAAUUUUCCACAAUGGGCGAAAGCCUGAUGGAGCAACGCCGCGUGCAGGAUGAAUGCCUUCGGGUUGUAAACUGCUUUUAUCUGUGACGAUAAUGACGGUAGCAGAUGAAUAAGGAUCGGCUAACUCCGUGCCAGCCGCCGCUGUAAUAC